GUAAAAUUCAUGCCGAAUCCCGGGAGGUCCCGGGUACGGAGGAACCAGCCAUUUGGGGGUGAAUCCUUUUAUUUUUUAGGUAGGGUUAUCCUUGCCCGAACCCGUCAGCUAACUCCGGAGGCAAAAAGGAGGAGAAAG
rnacentral:sRNA from 2 species